CUACGGGGCGCUCCAGUGAGGAAUAUUGCACAAUGGGGGGAACCCUGAUGCAGCAACGCCGCGUGGAGGAUGACGCAUUUCGGUGUGUAAACUCCUUUUAUAUGUCAGGAAAAUGACGGUAGCAUAUGAAUAAGCACCGGCUAACUCCGUGCCAGCAGCCGCGGUAAUACGGAGGGUGCAAGCGUUACUCGGAAUCACUGGGCGUAAAGGACGCGUAGGCGGGCUUGUAAGUCAGGUGUGAAAUCCUACAGCUUAACUGUAGAACUGCACUUGAAACUACGAGCCUAGAGUAUGGGAGGGGGAGAUGGAAUUAGUGGUGUAGGGGUAAAAUCCGUAGAUAUCACUAGGAAUACCUAAAGCGAAGGCGAUCUCCUGGAACAUAACUGACGCUAAGGCGUGAAAGCGUGGGGAGCAAACAGGAUUAGAUACCCCCGUAGUC
rnacentral:rRNA from 1 species